rnacentral:sRNA from 1 species
AGUGAAGGAACUUCUACCAAGAACGCACACGUCCUAUGUCGGACGUUGAAGUCACCACAUCCUGUGGA